rnacentral:rRNA from 1 species
AUGCGCGCACCGCCGCCGCCGCAGUCGCCGUCGCCCAGCGCGUCACACGCGGCCAUGGCGUGCGUGGUGACGUCGGAGGUCGCCGCGGUGCUCGCCAUCAUGCGCCGGAACGUCCGCUGGGCAGCCGGCGGCGACGACGACCCCCUCGAUCACCCCCUCGUCGCGGGCCUCAAGUCCCUCCGCCGCGCGGCCGCGGCGUGGGGCACGCGCCGGUGGCGGGACGUCGAGCCGCUCCUCUACCUCGGCCCCUUCCUCGACGUCGUCCGCUCCGACGAGGCCGGCGCGCCCGCCACGGGCGCCGCGCUCUCGUCCCUCCACAAGAUGCUCUCCCUCGACCUCGUCGGCCCCGACGCGCCGAACGCUGUCGAGGCCAUGUCCGCCGUCGUGGAGGCCGUCGCGGGGUGCCGCUUCGAGGUCACCGACGCGGCGUCGGAGGAGGCCGUCCUGGCCAGGGCGCUGCAGGUGCUGCUCGCCUGCGUGCGCGGCCGCGCCGCGCCGGCGCUCUCCAACCGCCACGUCUGCGACAUCGUCAACACCUGCUUCCGCGUCGUGCAGCAGGCCGGUGCCAAGGGGGAGCUGCUGCAGCGCGUGUCCCGGCAGACCAUGCAGGAGGUGGUCCGGUGUGUCUUCGCCCGCCUGCCCGACAUUGAUCCCACCGCGGUUGCAGACCACAAGAUUGCUGGUAGCAAGAACGAAGCUUCAAGUGCUAGCGAAAUGGGGAACGGGAGCGAUUCUGUGUGCUUGAGUAGCUCACAGGAUGAGGUUGGAUGUGAAUUUGGUGUUGUGCAAGACAAGGCCAUGAUGGAGCUGUUUGGGGUUCCUUGCAUGGUAGAAAUAUUGCAAUUUUUGUGCUCUCUGUUGAACAUAGCAGAAGACAGUCAGGUCGACCCAAAUAUGAAUCCAAUUGACUUUGACGAGGAUAUACCACUCUUUGCUCUGGGGUUGAUCAAUUCUGCUAUUGAGCUGUCAGCUUCGUCCAUACAGAGACACCCAAAACUACUGGCUUUUGUACAAGAUGAACUGUUCUGCAAUCUAAUGCAGUUUGGCUUGUCAGAUAGCCCCUUGAUUCUGUCGACCGUAUGCAGUGUUAUUUUUACACUCUUCUACCAUUUACGUCGGGAACUGAAGCUGCAAAUUGAGGCUUUCUUUGCGUGUGUGAUCCUUAGGCUAACCCAGAGUAGAUAUGGAGCUAGUUACCAGCAGCAGGAAGUUGCCCUGGAGACUCUAGUGGAUUUUUGCCAGCAGAAAGAUUUUAUGGUCGAGAUGUAUACAAAUAUGGAUUGUGAUUUACAGUGCUCUAAUGUUCUUGAAGACCUGGUUAAUGUUCUGUCCAAAAGUGCAUUCCCUGAGGAGAGUACCUUGUCAACAUUAAAUUUGCUUGCUUUGGAUGGUUUGCUUGCUGUCAUUCAGGCAAUAGCAGAGAGGAUUGGUAAUUUACCUCAGCACUGCCAGCAGCCAGUGCAAGAAUUAAGUGAAUAUUUUUCCUUUUGGCAGUUAAAGUGUGAGAACAUUGAUGAUCCUGAUCAAUGGGUUAGAUUUGUUAACCAGCAGAAAAGCAUCAAGAGAAAGCUAAUGGUUGGCGUUGAACAUUUUAAUAGCGAUAAAAGGAAGGGCUUUGAGUACCUGCAAGCUGCUCAUCUCUUGCCUGAAAAACUUGAUCCACAAAGUGUUGCCCUGUUUUUCCGCUACUCGCCUGGAUUAGACAAGAAUCUUCUCGGGGACUAUCUGGGGAAUCAUGACGAGUUCUCCAUUCAGGUCCUUCAUGAAUUUUCUAGAACCUUCGACUUCAAGGAGUUGAACUUGGAUGCUGCCUUAAGGCUCUUCUUGGAAACCUUUCGGCUGCCUGGUGAAUCACAGAAGAUACAAAGGAUUCUUGAGGCCUUUUCUGAUAGGUACUAUGAAGAGUCACCAGACUUGUUCGUUAACCGGGAUGCUGCUCUGGUGCUGUCGUACUCAGUAAUCUUGCUCAACACGGACCAACACAAUGUACGGGUUAAGAAUAAGAUGUCAGAAGAAGAUUUUAUUAGGAACAAUCGCCGUAUCAAUGGUGGGAAUGAUCUUCCAAGGGGAUUUUUAUCUGAGCUAUAUUAUUCUAUUUGUCGAAAUGAAAUCAAAACCAUUCCCGAGCAAGGAGUUGGAUGCUCAGAGAUGUCUUUCAGCCGCUGGGCUGAUCUGAUGUUUAAGUCAAAGAGGGCAUCAGCUUACAUUGCUUGUCACUCCUAUCCUUUUCUUGAUCAUGACAUGUUUCUUAUCAUGGCCAGGCCAACAGUUGCUGCUAUCUCAGUGAUCUUUGAUAAUGUUGAGCAAGAAGAGAUUCUUACAAGAUGCAUUGAUGGGUUUCUGUCAGUGGCAAAGCUGGCUGCAUUCUAUCAUCUUAAUGAUGUGCUGAAUGAUCUUGUUGUGGCACUUGGUAAGUUCACCAUUUUGUCGAUCGCCUUUGAUGAUCCUGCAACAGCUUUUGGUGAGGAUGCCAAGGCUAGAAUGGCAACAGAGGCCCUUUUCACUAUAGCAGCAACUCAUGGUGAUCACAUAAACAGAGGAUGGAGGACCAUUGUAGAUUGCAUUUUAAGAUUCCAUAAGAUAGGUCUCCUUCCUUCUUGUCUCACCAACGGUACAGCUGGUGAUCAGGAGUCCUUCUCUGCUUCGUUGCCUAGCAAGGUUUCCUCCUCAUCUCCCGCUGCCCCUCAAGUUGAGCCAAUCAGGAUUCCUAAGAAAACAUAUGGGCUGAUGGGGAGGUUCACCCAGCUACUGUAUUUAGAUGCUGAAGAGCAAAGGUUCCAGCCAACAGAGGAGCAACUUGCUGCUCAGAGGAAUGCUUCAGAGACCAUCAAGAAGUGCCAAAUAGGUACCAUCUUCACCGAGAGCAAAUUCUUACAAGCUGACUCGCUCUUGAAUCUGGCAAGAGCCCUCAUUCAAGCAGCAGGCCGACCUCAGAAGAUCACCAGCUCAAUAGAUGUUGAAAGCAAUGCAGUCAUCUGCUUAGAGCUUAUUGUUGCCGUCACAUUAAACAACAGAGACAGGAUUGUUCUCUUAUGGCGUGAUGUUUAUGAGCACAUAACUCAUAUUGUUCAGUCCACAGUAAUGCCCUGUAAUCUGGUGGAGAAAGCUGUUUUUGGCCUCCUGGACAUCUGCCAGCGUUUGCUUCCUUAUAAGGAGAACCUCGUGGAUGAUCUACUGAGGUCGCUUCAGUUAAUCUUGAAACUUGAUGCUCGUGUGGCUGAUGCGUAUUGCGAGAGCAUCACCCAGAAGGUUGCAUGCCUUGUCAAGGAUAACGCAACACAUAUCAAGUCUCAGAUGGGUUGGCAAACUAUCAUUUCCUUGCUGUGUGUCACUGCUCAUCAUCCUGAUGCUUCUGACGCUGGUUUUGAAGCCCUGGUUUACAUCAUGUUUGAGGGGGCACAUCUCUCACCUGCCAACUUCGUCCUUUCGGUGGAGGCCUCGAGACAGUUUGCACAGUCUCGGCUCGGGUCUGCUGAAAGAUCUAUCCAUGCUUUGAACCUAAUGGCUGAAUCAGUGAAUUGCCUUGCACGCUGGUCACAUGAGGUUAAGGAAGCUGGUGGAGAGGCCGAAAGGAUGUUGGAAGGAAUCACUGAGAUGUGGCUGCGGCUAGCCCAGGCCCUGCGGAAGGUGUGCACAGAUCAGCGAGAACAAGUGAGGGAUCAUGCUCUGGUAUUGUUGCACAGAUGCUUAGUAGUUGAUGGGAUAUCAGUUCCAUCUUCGGCGUGGUUGAUGUCAUUCGACAUUGUCUUCCAGUUGCUCGAUGAAUUGCUAGAGAUUGCUCAGAAUUUCUCGCCAAGGGAUUAUAGAAGCAUGGAGGCGUCUCUCUUGCAUGCUGUAACACUGUUAUCCAAACUAUCCUUGCAGUCACUCAAUGAUCUUUCGGCACAUAGCGGUUUCAGUAAGCUGUGGGUGGAGGUACUGGACAUGGUAGAGAAGCUCAUGAAAGUCAAAGUAAGAGGGAGCAGCAGGACCGAGAAGUUACAAGAGGCUGCCACAGAGCUACUCAAGAACAUUCUGCUGGCGAUGAAAGCGAGCGGGAUCUUAUCGAGGACGAGAGCCGGCGGGGAGAGCAGUUUGUGGGAAGCAACAUGGCUUCAGGUUAACAAGAUCGCGCCUUCACUUCAGUCAGUAGUUUUCCCUGGUUAUGAUGAUGCAGUACAAGGUUCACAAAGCAAGUUGGAUAUUCCAGCGGUUUCUGAGGGGAGGUUGGUCCCAGUUUAG